rnacentral:rRNA from 4 species
GUUAAGCGACUAAGCGUACACGGUGGAUGCCCUGGCAGUCAGAGGCGAUGAAGGGCGUGCUAAUCUGCGAUAAGCGCCGGUAAGGUGAUAUGAACCGUUAUAACCGGCGAUACCCGAAUGGGGAAACCCAGUGUGAUUCGUCACACUAUCAUUAACUGAAUCCAUAGGUUAAUGAGGCGAACCGGGGGAACUGAAACAUCUAAGUACCCCGAGGAAAAGAAAUCAACCGAGAUUCCCCCAGUAGCGGCGAGCGAACGGGGAGGAGCCCAGAGCCUGAAUCAGCAUGUGUGUUAGUGGAAGCGUCUGGA